UACGUAGGGUGCGAGCGUUGUCCGGAUUUAUUGGGCGUAAAGAGCGUGUAGGCGGUUCGGUAAGUCUGUCGUGAAAUCCUGAGGCUCAACCUUGGACGUGCGAUGGAUACUGCCGGGCUAGAGGAUGGUAGAGGCGAGUGGAAUUCUCGGUGUAGCGGUGAAAUGCGCAGAUAUCGGGAGGAACACCGGUGGCGAAGGCGGCGACCUGGUCCGUGACUGACGCUGAGGCGCGAAAGCGUGGGGAGCAAACAGG
rnacentral:rRNA from 1 species